rnacentral:rRNA from 1 species
GAAUUGUUCGCAAUGGGCGCAAGCCUGACGACGCAACGCCGCGUGGAGGAUGAAGAUCCUCGGGUCGUAAACUCCUGUCGACCGGGACGAAAUUCCCGCGAGCUAACAUCUCGCGGGAUUGACGGUACCGGUGGAGGAAGCCCCGGCUAACUCCGUGCCAGCAGCCGCGGGAAUACGGGGGGGGCAAGCGUUGUUCGGAAUUACUGGGCGUAAAGGGCUCGUAGGCGGCCGCACAAGUCCGACGUGAAAUCCCUCGGCUCAACCGAGGAACUGCGUCGGAAACUAGGUGGCUUGAAUCCAAGAGAGGGAUGCGGAAUUCCAGGUGUAGCGGUGAAAUGCGUAGAUAUCUGGAGGAACACCGGUGGCGAAGGCGGCAUCCUGGAUUGGCAUUGACGCUGAGGAGCGAAAGCCAGGGGAGCAAACGGG